GGGGUAAACCUGCGAAACUCGAAUGAACGAACGGAGAGAUUCAUCGUCAUUCCGCGGCGUACGCGUGCGCGUUCCAGAUGUUCGUCGACUUCUUCACGGUCGUCGGAGCGGGCACUGCGCGUACGCGUCGACGUCCGCGGACGGCGUGCACUUCUCUCUCAGUAACAUACGCAUACAUCGCGACCCGUUCGAUGUCGGUCUAAGCGCCCCGUCCGGGAGCCCCGUCCUCUCCCCCCUUCGCCGGGGCGGGGGGGGCGGGACCGUCGACGGGCGCCGACCGGCCGUCGGACGGUAUGAUUAUAUGACACGCGCACGCGUUUACGACGCGUCCGGCCCGACGCAAGUCAACGUCGUCUCCGACGUGUGUACCGCCCGAGCGCGGACGUCGGUGCGGCGCGUCUGGUGUCGCAGCCGUGCAGUCUCGGACUGUGCGCGUCUCCGUCUGCGAUGAUUCAGUUUCGGGCACUCGCAGGACCCGUCUUGAAACACGGACCAAGGAGUCUAGCAUGUGUGCGAGUCAUUGAGAUUAUUGACUAUAAACUGAAAGGCGCAACGAAAGUGAAGGCGCGCGCAGAAGUGCGCGCGCUCAGGGAGGAUGGAGCGUCGUCGAUCCGGGUCGAUCUCUCGCACUCCCGAGACGUCUCGUUUCCAAUUUGUGAAUGCAGGCGCGCUC
rnacentral:rRNA from 1 species